GUAUGGCUGGCCCAGCCUCCAAAGUGGGAUCACAGCAGCUGGAGACAGAAAAUUUUGCCUUCGCAGCCACUGUUCCUUCAUGCAGGCAGCGCCGAUGGACUACAGGUGCUCCAGCUGCCAGCCCUGAGGAGAGUCCGUCAGAGACUUCACUCCUGCUUGGCUUUUCUGCAGCCCAGCCGGAGGUUUGCCCUGCUAAGCCAAGCUACCCCUUCGGAGGUCUUAAAAAGGGGGAAGGAUGGUGGAAAAUUGUAGUCAUAGCUUUCCCCUGCCUGGCUCAGGCAGUGUGUCCUGGUCCUCUGUGUGGGACUCACCUUCUCCCAGCACACUUGAGAUGUGAACACACGUGCCCGAGGAGAUGGCUUCAGCUCCCUGCCACAUGGAGAGCUCUGUGGUGUCUGCUCCCCACCUCAGCCUCAUAAGAACUGAGCAGACCAGGAGAUGCUGCCCUUUGCCCAUUGGUGCACACAUCCCAGUUCAGUCACUGUGGUCUUUCAGCUGAAGUUCACCCCCAGGUCAGUUUUAUUGCACUUUUAUUUACAGAAAACACAGAAAUAAAGUCUAACUGCAAUGGGCUUUAACCAAACCACCCAAUCACUUUCCCC